UUCAAAAUUUCUUAAAUAGAAAAUAAAACUAUUUAAUUCAACAUCAUUCAUAACUUCAAAAAUUAUGCAGCGAAAUACUAUCAUCAACACCAACAAUUGUUUAAACUUCCAAAUAAUAUCUUGGCAUAAAGCCUAACAACAAUUUCAUCCAACAUAGGGCCAUAACAACAAGUUCCAAAAUAAGAUACAUAGGAAAGAAAACAAUAAUAAGAAUAUUUCCCAUCCCACGUAUCAGAGCCCUAGACACGACAUUGAGCCACCACCGACUACUCAGGAUCACCUGCAAGUUACCCAUAGGAAGGGCAACAUUUUCAAGCAGAAGGGGUGAGAUUCACAACAAUAAAAUAUAGAUAUUAAAAUUCAUCAAUUGAAUCUAACACCCUAAAUAUAAUCAGAUCAUCACCAUAUAUAUAUAUAAAUAUAUACUUCAUAAAACACAUCAUCAUCAAUAUGGCAUUUACAACCAACAACACCGACUCAUGCAAAUGACAUGACAACACAGCUAAGACAACACCUUAGACUCCUCAACAAAUGCAAUAUGCAUGUGGUACCAAACAGGAUCGAAGCCCUCACCGCUUUUGAAUGGUUAAAGCAUUCAUCAGGACCGAAGCCCUCAUCGCUGUUGAGCAACUAGUGCUCUAGGACAUGAGUCCUCUCCGCUGUUUAUGCAUAUGCAAUGGACCUACUUGUGUAUAUCUACAUACAACUUGACCAUGCAUACAUACUCCAUAUGACUCCACUUAAACAACAUGUAUGGUUAAUAGAUAAAGCAUACAUUUCAGUCAUCAACAGCAAUCAACAACCAAUAAUCCAGCAAUCCAGAAUAAUGCAUAAUCAUUUAUAAAUAUGCUCGAAAACAACAACACCAAGCACUACCAUUCAUGUACGCAAUUCAGCACUCAAAAACUGUGCAGCUCGCCUCGCGAGCACAUCUGCUCGCUAUGGCGAGUUCACAAAACUGCUUGCUCGCCAUGGCGAGUUCAAGGCGAACUCGAGGCGAGUGAAAAAUAGGUGCUCUUGGGAAUUAGACAUUAUUCUCACUCAAACCUCAAUUCUAAGCUCCCUAUUCAUCUUUUUAACCUAAAACUUGCUCCAGUCAUCAUUAAAAUCAUCCAGGUACCUUAAACCAUCCCCAAAACAUCUUAUAACAACAUUUCAAAAAUCAAGUUUUGAUCUGGCUUGCUCGCCAUGGCGAGUUGGUCUGCUCGCGAGGCGAGCGAUGAACUUCUGUACGGGCAGAAAACUGGUUUUUCCCCAAAAUUUAAUUUCUCUUCCUUUCACUCCCCAAAUCAGUUUACAGAUGUAAUUUAUCUUGCUGUAUACACUCAGAACCUAUUUCUAACAUCAAAAUCAUCAUUACAACUCCAAAAUCAACAUUUCAUCAUAAAAUCCCAAAAUCCCAAUUCUCACCAAAACUCUGUUAAAUUCAAAUUCAGAAAUCAAAAUCUAUACUACUGAAGUAAAUCUCACCCUUACCUUAGAAUUGCAGAAAGAAAUGCACAUCAAUUUGGUUCCUGGGUUCUACUUGCUCUUCUCUCCCUUUUUUCCCAACUUGACAGUUUCACGUAAAAAGCUUCUGACAUCUAUUUUCCUAACUUCCCUCUUACUUAACUCCCUUUAUUUUCAUUUAACUCCCUUUAAUUCUAUUAAAUAUUAAAUAACUCCCCAAACUCCAAAAUAAUUAUUAUUUUUCACUUAAUCCAAUUAUUAUUAAAAUAAACCAUAUAAUAAAAUAAACACACCACAUAAAUCACCAAAAAUCAUAUAUAUAUAUAUAUAUAUAUAUAUAAACUCCACAUAAAUCAAAAUAAUUAAAUAUAUCGACUAGGGCGUUACAUAACUAAUUUAUUAAUUAUGGAAAUAAGCAUCAAGGGGAAUAAACCUAGUAAGACCAUUGUCCUCGGUCUUUAGGUAAGGUAGACAUUGAUAGGGUUGAUAAAUAUCUUUUUUUUUUAUUAAUACUUCUUUUGAUGAAUUAAGAGAGUAGUGAAACAUCAAGGUGAAACUUAAUUUUUUUAUCAAACAUCUAUCCUCUGAUGUCCAUUACAAUUUUUUUAAUAAAAACGAAAAAAUUAGGUACAAAAAGGGGGUAAAACCAAAACCCUCAGAAAAAAGGCCAAGAAGUUGAAGAAAAAAAACAAGAAAGAGAAACUACUCAAUUAGUAAAAGAUGUCUUUCAACCACCCUUAAAACAAAUGUUAUGAGCAGUCCUAUUGAGCUCCUUUUUAUUAAAAUUGAUAAAUACUUUAAUUAAGAAAAAACUUGUUAAUCAAAAAAUAAAUUGGAUUAAUACUUUAAUUAAGAAAAAAAUUUUGGUUUAACAUUGUUAAGCUUGAAAUAAAUAUUUAUUCACCAAAACAUGGAGUAAGGUGCUUUUGAGAUGUUCUAAGCUAUGACGUUUACCAAAUAUAUGAACAGUAGGUGUAAAUUAUGUAUUUUCAAUUUAAGUUUUAAUGCUUCUAAUUGAAUACUGUCGAAUGAAUCACUUAGACACUAGUUUAAAAAUAUUCUUCUUUGAUUAAGAAAAAAAAGUUGGUUCAACAUUGUUAAGCUUGAAACAAAUAUUUAUUCACCAAAAGUUAGAGUAAAGGUGUCUUUUCUCUUUUGAGAUGUUCUAGGACGUUUAACAAAUAUACGGACAGUUAAUGUAAAUCAUGUAUUUUAAUUUAAAUUUUAAUGCUUCUAACUAAAUACGGU
rnacentral:lncRNA from 1 species